rnacentral:lncRNA from 1 species
CCCGUAGUAAGUUUUUGCUUCAAAUCCAAGACCCUAUAUUCUUCUCUUCGUUUCUCCCCGGGCAACUUUGUAGUAUGUUUCACAUUGAUGAUCAGAUUGAGAGGUUGUUCUUUCCCGUAAUAUUUCUUCAUAUUUUCCCUGUAAUAAAUUGAGAUGAAGAGAAAACAUUAAAGAUUAGGAAUAAAAUUAUAAUGGAAGGAAAAUGCAGAAACACACAUAACCUUUUAGCUUAAUUAAAUGUGCUAUACUUUUUUAGCCAACUUACAGUACAUUUAAGCUUAUAUGUAUCAAUGAUUGUGCAGCAAAACCAACUCAAUAGUUCCAUCUCAAAAAAAUAAGUAGCUCAAUAAAUUCAAAAUAAAGAAAACAACUGAAGUGUCUAGCAUGGAGUAUUUUCCUAAACAAGCCCGAAAGAUGAAUGUUUACCAUUAAAUAUUAUCCAUUUUUUUUGUCAAAUAAAUUUCCGUCAACCCUACAGAAUAAAUAACACAUCUAGUAUUGAAGAGGAAGUUGUUCAACUCAAUAUGAACCAGAAUGAUUGAAAGCAAUAAUUCAGUUGUUCACAUGUAAAUUCAUUGCAACAAGUGUAAACUAAAAGCAAGUUAAAUAUAAAUUCAAGGACAUACCAAAUAGAAGCAUUCCAUCUCCUAUUGCAGCAUCCCCUCUUCAUCAGAAAGGCUUGGUUUGUACUAGGUAAAAAAGCUAAAGUUGAUUCCUUUAACUAGAAGAAGGCUAAUGUUGUGUUAAUUAUACAAGGACUCAAGAUGGUCAACAAUGAGAAAUACUAUUCUAUGUGUCUACCACCCAUCUUAUCUUGCUAAGUUAGUGUCAAUCAUGCAAUAGUAUAUCGAGUCUGCGACUAAAAAUCAUGAUUCUGAGGGAGAUCUCACAUGCUCUGAUCUCUCUCUCAAGUUAUCAACAUAUGUAAUUGGACAAGCUUCUUUUGGUGUGGAUUUUUGACUUUCUAAACCAAUUUCAGACAAGAUGAGUCUUCAUCAAGUUCUCGAAAGAAUCCCGGGUACUAUGGACUGAAAGAUGGAAAGAACGUACAAGAAUUUAAGCAGUAGGCUGGAUGAGAUAGUGGCAAAGAGGACGGAGGAAAAAGAAAGUAGCUCGAAUUUUUUUUUGUUGCUUAUAAUGUAGACAAUGGAGUCAAAGAAGUUAGCUAAGAAUGUUUUCACCUCAGAUUAUAUCGAUGUUGUAACUUAUGAGCAUUUGCUGGCGGGUUCUAUUGUUGGCGGGUUCUGCAACAACAUCUUUUACUUUCUCUUCUAUCAUUUGUCUGGUUGCUUGCCAUCCAGAAGUUGAGCAGAAGUUGCUUGUUGAGAUAGCUUUUGGCCUUGAUGAUCACAUACCUACUGCCGAUGAUCUUCAGCAGAAAUUCUCGUACCUCGAUAAGGUAAAUGUUAUUAUUUUAUAUUUACAAGAAUUUCGUAUACACUACAAGUAGAAAAAAAAGAGAUAAUGAGAACUAGUUUAUUAAACCAUUCUCAUUCUUCUUGUAACUGCUUAUACAUUUUAGGUAAUCAAAGAAGCAAUGAGAUUUUACAUUGUCUCGGCCUUAGUUGCCAGAGAAACAUCAGCCGAAGUGGAGAUUGGAGGCUAUAAACUUCCUAAGAUUAAUAUCUGUAACUUUUACUAUUUCAAAUGCAACUUCACAUGUAACUCAAUUCUAUGCCUAAAAAAGAUGAAGUUUACACAUAGUCAUCACACAAUCAAGCACAGUCAAGAUGUGAUCAACUUAUCUCAGUUUAUGAUAAUUGAGCAAAUGAUCUACAUAAUAACAUACUUGCUACAAAUGAACACUGGAAACCAAGUCCGGAACAAGUUAAACAUACCUACCAGCUUUUUGAAUUUUUUUUACAACAACAAGCUAUUGUAUUGGUUGUCAUUACCCUAAUCAUUCUAUAUCACUGGACUCAAACAUAUAUAUCACUGUCUUUAUAAGUGACUUACAAGGAUAUAUAAUUGCUCAUUACCAAUAACUCUUAACACUAUGAGAUUUUUGUAAUUUAUACUUUAAUUAAUAUAUAUUUAUACCUUUAUUUAUCACUUAACACUCACAAAUUAGUAGAAUCCGAGUUCAUGUAAACAUCACUAAUGUGGGUAUUAACCUUUUUGAACAAAAGAAAAGAAAUGGAAAGAGUACUGCAUACCAUCUUAAAAAUCAAUUGGAGGAAGGAUACGUAUUUAUGAUUAUACUAUGACUUAAUCCAUAUAGAAGAUUUAGGCUAACACAUAAUUAAUACUUCGAUAUUCAAAAUUGAAAAAUAAAGGACACAGAGCCAAUAAUUUCUGUAGGUUGAGGUGGAGGAAGAAUGAUUGAAAAAACAUAUAACAACUCCAUUGUAUGUAUGGUCCCAAAUAGAACACGUUGAACUUUGAAGUAUUGUGCUUUGUCUUUAGUCAUGUCAACAAUCAACUAUCUUUUACCUAAACAAACUUUUUUUUAGCUACAAAGAUGACCAUUUAUUAUGUAACAAGACGGAAUUAAAAUGCUAGUGUUGCAGGGGGUAAAUGGAAGUUACCAUAAGAUUAAAACGUGACUGUUGGUGGUUCACUGUCUGCUGCUCUCGCGGCUACUGCUGAUAGUUAUCGCCGGCUGCUGCUGUUCGGAGUCGAUGAUUCUUGGUGGCUCACCGGUCGGAGCUGCUGUUCACCGGAGAAGCAACGCUGGAGAGGAGAGGAAGAGCAGCAGUCUCGCUGCUGCUGCUGGCAUAGAGGGGACGGAGAAGGGCAACGGGAGAGAAGAGGAAGAGGGGAGGAGAGUAGAGCAACGUCUCCUCUUGUUCUCACCGGAGAUGAUGGACAGAGAUGGG